rnacentral:rRNA from 1 species
GAUGAACGCUGGCGGCGUGCUUAACACAUGCCAGUCGAACGGAAAGGCCCAAGCUUGCUUGGGUACUCGAGUGGCGAACGGGUGAGUAACACGUGGGUGAUCUGCCCUGCACUUCGGGAUAAGCCUGGGAAACUGGGUCUAAUACCGGAUAGGACGAUGGCUUGGAUGCCAUUGUGGAAAGUUUUUUCGGUGUGGGAUGAGCUCGCGGCCUAUCAGCUUGUUGGUGGGGUAAUGGCCUACCAAGGCGUCGACGGGUAGCCGGCCUGAGAGGGUGUACGGCCACAUUGGGACUGAGAUACGGCCCAGACUCCUACGGGAGGCAGCAGUGGGGAAUAUUGCACAAUGGGCGCAAGCCUGAUGCAGCGACGCCGCGUGGGGGAUGACGGCCUUCGGGUUGUAAACUCCUUUCGCUAGGGACGAAGCGUUUUUGUGACGGUACCUGGAGAAGGAGCACCGGCUAACUACGUG